rnacentral:rRNA from 1 species
CGGGUGAGUAAUGUAUAGUUAAUCUGCCCCAUAGUGGAGGACAACAGUUAGAAAUGACUGCUAAUACUCCAUACUCCUUCUUAUCAUAAGUUAAGUCGGGAAAGUUUUUCGCUAUGGGAUGAGACUAUAUCGUAUCAGCUAGUUGGUAAGGUAAUGGCUUACCAAGGCUAUGACGCGUAACUGGUCUGAGAGGAUGAUCAGUCACAUUGGAACUGAGACACGGUCCAAACUCCUACGGGAGGCAGCAGCG